AUGAGCCAAAUACAAGGUGAUGAGGUGACAUACCUAAGCCUGGACACCGUGUGCAAGGCAACGACAAACACCAAUAUCAUGAUGAACAUGCAGCCUACUGAAUUCCUAAACACCUUGACGUCCCCAGGAAUCCCAGACCAUGAGCUAAAACUCAAAGUGGGUUUGCCGGUCAUGCUCCUGCGCAACAUCAACCAAGCAGCAGGUUUAUGCAACGGUACAAGAAUGACAAUAACACAACUUGGAAACAAAUACAUCGAGACACAAAUAAUCACAGGAACACACAUCGGUGACAAGGUAUACGUACCUCGAAUAAUCAUGUCACCCAGCGACUCAAAAUGGCCAUUCGUGCUGAAAAGAAGGCAAUAUCCAUUAUCAGUGUGCUUCGCAAUGACGAUAAACAAGAGCCAAGGUCAGUCCUUAAACAAGGUAGGAAUAUAUUUGCCUAAGCAAGUGUUCUGCCACGGACAACUGUAUGUGGCAUUAUCAAGAGUGACAAACAAGGAAGGAUUGAAGGUGCUGAUCAAUGACAAAGAGUGUCCAACUGAAGAUGUCGCAAAAAAUAUUGUUUAUAAAGAGAUAUUCUAA
rnacentral:rRNA from 1 species